UGGGGAAUUUUGGACAGUGGGCGCAAGCCUGAUCCAGCAAUGCCGCGUGAGUGAAGAAGGCCUUCGGGUUGUAAAGCUCUUUUGUCAGGGAAGAAACGGGACUGGCUAAUAUCUGGUUCUAAUGACGGUACCUGAAGAAUAAGCACCGGCUAACUACGUGCCAGCAGCCGCGGUAAUACGUAGGGUGCAAGCGUUAAUCGGAAUUACUGGGCGUAAAGCGUGCGCAGGCGGUUUUGUAAGUCUGUCGUGAAAGCCCCGGGCUUAACCUGGGAAUUGCGAUGGAGACUGCAAGGCUUGAAUCUGGCAGAGGGGGGUAGAAUUCCACGUGUAGCAGUGAAAUGCGUAGAGAUGUGGAGGAACACCGAUGGCGAAGGCAGCCCCCUGGGUCAAGAUUGACGCUCAUGCACGAAAGCGUGGGGAGCAAACAG
rnacentral:rRNA from 1 species